AUGGAGGCCCGCUUCCGCCCUCUUUAUUCCCCCCUUCAUCUUCCUUUGAGGGAACCAGACAAGGUGCUGGCUCGAGCAUCUUUUCCAGCACCGGAUUGUCCAAGCCUUCAGGAAGGGGGGCCGAACACCGGAUCAUCUUCGCCUUUGUUAUCCAGUCCUGGUCAAAGAGCGAUUCUUCAGAAUGAUGUCAUGAUAAAUAAAAGGACAGUGUGUUCGGCCAUGGGAUUACUUACUUGGGCAGCGGUGCGGUUGCUGCUCAGGCCCACAUCCUCAAUAGUGUCCGGACACUCUAUUUGGGGUCCGAAGAAUGAUUUGUACAUCUCCUUGUGCAUCAUGCCGAGGAAAUUCUGA
rnacentral:rRNA from 1 species